rnacentral:rRNA from 1 species
GACGAACGCUGGCGGCGUGCUUAACACAUGCAAGUCGAACGGAGCUAUUUAUUUCGGUAAAUCGCUUAGUGGCAAACGGGUGAGUAACGCGUAGGCAACCUGCCCUCAGGAUGGGGACAACGGCUCGAAAGAGCCGCUAAUACCGAAUGACGUAACUCUUCCACAUGGAAGAGAUACUAAAGAUGGGUCAAACCAUCGCCUAAGGAUGGGCCUGCGUCUGAUUAGCCAGUUGGUGAGGUAACGGCUCACCAAAGCGACGAUCAGUAGCCGGUCUGAGAGGAUGAACGGCCACAAUGGGACUGAGACACGGCCCAUACUCCUACGGGAGGCAGCAGUGGGGAAUCUUCCGCAAUGGGCGAAAGCCUGACGGAGCAACGCCGCGUGAGUGAAGAAGGUCUUCGGAUCGUAAAGCUCUGUUGUCGGGGACGAAAGAGUAGACGAGGAAAUGCGUUUACUAAGACGGUA